rnacentral:rRNA from 1 species
UACGUAGGGGGCUAGCGUUGUCCGGAAUCAUUGGGCGUAAAGCGCGCGUAGGCGGCCCGGUAAGUCCGCUGUGAAAGUCAAAGGCUCAACCUUUGAAUGUCAGCGGAUACUGCCGGGCUAGAGUCCGGAAGAGGCGAGUGGAAUUCCUGGUGUAGCGGUGAAAUGCGCAGAUAUCAGGAGGAACACCCGUGGCGAAAGCGGCUCUCUGGGACGGUACUGACGCUGAGACGCGAAAGCGUGGGGAGCAAACAGG